UACGUAGGGUGCAAGCGUUGUCCGGAAUUAUUGGGCGUAAAGAGCUUGUAGGCGGUUUGUCGCGUCUGCUGUGAAAUUUCGGGGCUCAACCCCGAACUUGCAGUGGGUACGGGCAGACUAGAGUGUGGUAGGGGAGACUGGAAUUCCUGGUGUAGCGGUGAAAUGCGCAGAUAUCAGGAAGAACACCCGUGGCGAAGGCGGCUCUCGUGGGACGGUACUGACGCUGAGACGCGAAAGCGUGGGGAGCGAACAGG
rnacentral:rRNA from 1 species